rnacentral:rRNA from 1 species
GACGAACGCUGGCGGCGUGCUUAACACAUGCAAGUCGAACGGUAAGGCCCUUCGGGGUACACGAGUGGCGAACGGGUGAGUAACACGUGGGUGAUCUGCCCUGCACUUCGGGAUAAGCCUGGGAAACUGGGUCUAAUACCGGAUAGGACCACUGCCUGCAUGGGUGGUGGUGGAAAGCUUUUGCGGUGUGGGAUGGGCCCGCGGCCUCUCAGCUUGUUGGUGGGGUGGUGGCCUACCAAGGCGAAGACGGGUAGCCGGCCUGAGAGGGUGAGCGUCCACACUGGGACUGAGAUACGGCCCAGACUCCUACGUGAGGCAGCAGGUGGGCAUAUUGCACAAUGGGCGCAAGCCUGAUGCAGCGACGCCGCGUGAGGGAUGACGGCCUUCGGGUUGUAAACCUCUUUCAGCACCGACGAAGCGCAAGUGACGGUAGGUGCAGAAGAAGGACCGGCCAACUACGUGCCAGCCGCCGCGGUAA